CACCAAUUAGUCUACGUCUCGUCGUGUCGCUGUCUCGUGUUGCACUUGACGUCCCCAUCAAGGACUUUGCUCUUCACCAAUCAGCUGAUGACCCUAUUCAAUAUGAAGGGGAAGGGCAAGAAAGAUAAAAUUAGAAUUGAAGACAAGAAAUUGUUUUCAGCAAUAAAAGCUGCUGUCAUGAAAUGGGACCCAGCUGCAACAGAGGCCCAAAUAAAGUCUGCUGCAUCUGAUCAUAUGAAACAUGCCCCCCAGGAGAGUCGGGGUGGUGGCUAUAAAUAAUAUAUUGUGCACCUUUUGU